GUUAUAGGAUCAAGCGACUAAGUGCAUAUGGUGGAUGCCUUGGCGAUCACAGGCGAUGAAGGACGUAGUAGCCUGCGAAAAGCUACGGGGAGCUGGCAAACAAGCUUUGAUCCGUAGAUGUCCGAAUGGGGAAACCCACUCCGUAAGGAGUAUCCCUGGCUGAAUACAUAGGCCAGUGGAAGCGAACCGGGUGAACUGAAACAUCUCAGUAGCUCGAGGAAAAGAAAUCAACCGAGAUUCCGAAAGUAGUGGCGAGCGAAAUCGGAAGAGCCUUUACGUUUUAGCACGCAAGAUAGUCGAACGGAAUGGAAAGUCCGGCCGUAGCAGGUGAUAGCCCUGUAGGCGAAAUCUUGUGUGUGGAACUAAGCGUAAGAAAAGUAGGGCGGGACACGUGAAAUCCUGUUUGAAGAUGGG
rnacentral:rRNA from 1 species